CUGCUGCAUGGUUUAAUUGGUUCAAAAGGUCACCUGUCCAUCUGACCAGACUGUCUGCCUCUGAACACACGAGAUCCAGUGAACAGAGAAGUCACCACACAGCCUUGGUACUCCAGACAUGGAUCAGAAGUGGACCUGUCAGGACACAGCUGUGUCUGAACACUAUAUAGCAUCAUGAGUCCCCACAGAGAAGAGAUCAGUCUAGCUAUUACUAAUUUGACUGAAGAUUUUGAAUGACCCAGCAAGAACUCUAACGAGGCAUGAAUGACAUGCUACUGUGGAAAACAUGUAGCAAGAAAAGUUAAGUAUUCAACUUAAGAACCUUUAAACAUCUGUACUCCAAAAACAACACACUUUCAUAAAAUGCUAGCAGAAUUUUUAAGAAAAACAACCAAGAAACAAGAA